CCCCCCCCACUACUCUCCUCUACAGCCUGGCACCCCUUCCCACCUACCCCCCCCCACCCCAGCCCCAGCGGGUGGGCUCGGGAAGAAAGAGAUGGGGAGUCAGAGAGGGAGGGAGGCAGGAAGGAUGUGAAGGACAGAGAGGAGCCCGCUUUCCGACACGAACACAAGCUUCGGAGGCAGCUGGUGGUGUUCGGGGAGGAGGAAGCGUGUGUCACUGAGUGUAUCCGCGAGGGCUGCGCCCGGCGUGUAGCCCCGGAGGGACAGGGAAGCUUCGUCUCCUUCCCCUGGCGGGCCUGGCAACCUCUUCUCUGGGUCUGAUCCCAGAGAUCAGAAGAUCCGGGUCCAGGGAGAAGAGUCUGUCUGCCUGUCUCUCUCACAUACACACAUGUACACACGAAGGAGAGCAUCUUCUCGACAAAGUAAAUCCCUGAGUCAGCAACUUCGAGAUCCUUGAUGACCAGAGGAAAGGAUCCUUGGUCCCACAGGUUUUUUUUCGAUUCAACACGAUGCUUCAGCCUGGAGCUGCCUGGGAGCAGAAGCCACAUGGAAGAGGUUGGGGUAGCCUGAAGAUGUGACAGCCCUGUGGAGGGCAAUGCCCACGACUUUUCUGAGCUCAGCCUCUAACUUCCCGCAAAAUUUGCCCCAAGUCAGAAAACCCCAGACUGGUGAGGAGGAGAUUCCAUCCCAUGAGCUUGAUUGGCCAGGAUCUCAUUAAGCCAAAAUAAAAUACUAUCUUUAUUUCAAGAGCACCAACCCCUACAUGCCCAAUACUUAACAUGCAUCAUCUCAAGAAAUCUUCACAACAAUUCCAAGAAGUGAGUGAAGUGGCUUAUUUUGCAGAUUAAAUAGUUGCCCCGACUCUUACGCAUUGUUGGCAGGAAUAUAAACCGGUACAAUUUCUUUGGGAGGUAAUUUAUAAUAUCUAUCAGAAUGACAAAUGCACAUACAAAGAUACCUGUCCACCAAGAAGGAAUAGGGUAAGUAAAUUAUAGUUUGCCCAUUCAAUGGAAUGCUGUACGAGAAGAAGGAAGCUCUGUAUCUACUGAAUGGAGUAAUAGCUAAGAAAUAUAAUUAACUGAAAAGAGCAAGAUAUUGGACAGGCUUUGUUUGUUUACAAAGGAGGGAGAAAUUUCUCUCUCUGUCAUCUGCCUUGCAUGGGAACAAAUAUUUCUAGAAGUAAACAGAAGAACACAGUAACUUUGGUUGCCCCUGGGGAGGAGUGAAUACCCACCGACAGGUGUGGAAUGGGGGGGGUGAUUCUCACUACAUACCCUUUUCUACCUUUUGGAUUUGACUCCAGUAAGUGGCGGAGCCAGGAUUAAAAUCCAAGCCCAUUGGGUAUACUAUGCAGUACUGUGUCUGGAAAGUUCCUCAAGCAGGGACACGUGGCCUCCCCCAGUCUCCUCUCCUAGUACCUAAUAACCAUCACCAGGAGGAAGUUCUUCUCUUUAGCUAAUCACUUUCUGGAUGUGGUGGCACCUUCAGAAUUCCUGUAGAGGAAGGUUUUAAAGGCU